rnacentral:lncRNA from 1 species
CCCUUUUUCUAGUCCCAGCUAAAAAAGGAAGAAUUUAUUUCUACUCAACCCUUUACUUGUCAGUUUUAGGUUUAUUCAAAAGCACAUUUACAGAAAACACUCUGAAUGAAAAACCACUCUGGAACAUAAGGACACAGGCCUCUGUUGUGGGUUGUUUUUUCUUCUUCUUCUUCCUUCCAUUGGUUAUCAUUCCUCUUCUAAAUUAAAGGUGAAAUUGAUGAGAAUUAGACUGUCCACAAGCUCGAAAAGCAAUUGCUUAAAUAAUGACAUUCAAAUAGAUCAUUUGAUAUCUUGUAAAUGUCAAGUGAGGGUCAUUUUUCAAAACACCACAUUUGUUCAACUGGGUCAAAUGGACAGCACACUGUGUCCAGCUUCAGUGGGUAGAGCCCUGUCUCCUAAUUUCUGUUGGUCCUUGGGCGGCAACACCUUUCAGCAGCACGUCUGCUACCGCGCGCGUGUGUGUGUGUGUGUGUGUGUGUGUGUGUGUGAGGGUGGGUGGGGAGGAGGAAGGAGUCAGCACAAGAAGGAGACCUUUCACUUCUUCUUAAAAUGUUGCGGUUAAUUUCUUCAGUGUGGGAAAAAGAAAAUUUUGUCAAGAUUAAGAAAAAACAAAGACAGUGUCCCACUCACAAAACGAUGUCUACCCUCCCUCUCCGAAUUUGGUCUUUGGGUCUCUAAGGCACCCUCUGCUCUUUUCAUCUCUCCACCAAAUCAUGCCAUCUGGUUUCCUACCUUAUGAAAUAUUAUCGACCAGCUUGAAAUGAAAGUGGGUUGUAAAUUAAUGCAUGCAACGUGGUCUCCCAUCGGGCGGGUGGGGCUGGGAAGCCACAGCUUUUAGAAUGUUAAAUAUUUAUGGUUAUCAUGUCAACCAAAAUAUGAACUUGCACAAAGAAGAACAUGAUGCGGAUUUCAUUGAAAACAUUUGCCUCACUUACUGUGUCCCAGAGAAACUUCAGAAACCUGGGGCCGGUGCGGAUGUGCACCUUGGAUAUGAGCUUUACAGGCUCCCGGAAGAGAAAUGAAGAGCCCUGUAGUAAAUGACUAGAAAGAGCAGCCAGUCCCUCAGAGGAGGGUUCCCGUCUUUCCAGGUCGAGAAAUGAGUGGCUCGCUUAGGUUAUCUGCUUCUCCAUCCUUCCAUCUGGCCGAGUUCUUCACGCCCUCAACCCCAGUCGCCCCCAAUCAUGGAAACGCAAGUCACUCAUCAACUAUUCUUCUAAAAUUUGUUGCUGUGGAUCAUUUAUUGCAGACAAUAAUUGUUUUAUCUUUGUUAUCAUUAUUGUUGGAAUUUUAAAUGCCUGAGCCUAAAUAUUUGAGAUGUGUUAACUACAAAUCUGUCAACAAUUACAGAUUUAUGAAAGCUUAAAGAUAUUUUUGAAUCUAGAAUAAUAUUGGAGAAGAUGAAACUAAAUUCUCUUUUGGACUGCGUUACCAUAAGGAAGUGAAACUACCUCCCAAGGCUUGGGAAGGAACACAAAAUAACCUCAUAUAUUUUGUUCUCAUGGCCAAAAAUAUUAGGAGGAAAAAUCAAUAAAUUCACAAUGUAAUUUGUAAGCAAAAAGUGGGAAGGUGAGUUUAGAAACCCCUGCAAACAUAUCAACAUAUCAAGGAUGCCCCUGAGACACCAGCUGGGUUCCAGAAGGAGUGGCACUCUAAAUACGGCCUGGCUCACUCUACCAAGUAGGUUUCUGCCUGAAAGGCUUCAAAACCUUUGAGCCCAAGUUCAGAUAAUAACUUAUAUCCCCCAUCUUAAUCUUUAAAAAACAAUGUAAGGGGCCGGCCUGGUGGCACAGAGAUUAAGUUCACACGUUCUACUUCGAUGGCCCGGGGUUCGCUGGUUUGGAUCCUGGGUGCAGACAUGGCACUGCUUGGAAGCCAUGCUGUGGCAGGCAUCUCACAUAUAAAGUAGAGGAAGAUGGGCAUGAUGUUAGCUCAGGGCCAGUCUUCCUCAGCAAAAAGAGGAGGAUUGGUGGCAGAUGUUGCGCUAAUCUUCCUAAAAGAAAAAA